UACGAAGGGGGCUAGCGUUGUUCGGAAUUACUGGGCGUAAAGCGCACGUAGGCGGAUAUUUAAGUCAGGGGUGAAAUCCCAGAGCUCAACUCUGGAACUGCCUUUGAUACUGGGUAUCUUGAGUAUGGAAGAGGUGAGUGGAAUUCCGAGUGUAGAGGUGAAAUUCGUAGAUAUUCGGAGGAACACAAGUGGCGAAGGCGGCUCACUGGUCCAUUACUGACGCUGAGGUGCGAAAGCGUGGGGAGCAAACAGG
rnacentral:rRNA from 1 species